rnacentral:rRNA from 1 species
UACGUAGGGGGCAAGCGUUGUUCGGAAUUACUGGGCGUAAAGGGCGCGUAGGCGGCCCGUCAAGUCCCGUGUGAAAGCCCCCGGCUCAACCGGGGAACGGCGCGGGAAACUAGCAGGCUUGAGUUCGGGAGAGGGAAGCGGAAUUCCGGGUGUAGCGGUGAAAUGCGCAGAUAUCCGGAGGAACACCGGUGGCGAAGGCGGUUCACUGGCCCGACACUGACACUGAGGUGCGAAAGCUAGGGUAGCAAACGGG